rnacentral:lncRNA from 1 species
ACUGUCCCUCUGUCUUCUGUGGCAUCCUUUGCCUUGCAGCCACAGCCCAGCUAGCCCAGGCCAAGGGAGUCCGACCCCCACCCCGAAGCACAGGGAAGUUGCUGCCCUUUCCCGCAGUGACAGGAAUCCUCUCAAAGGUUCUGGAAGGCAAGGAUGCGGCCAUCCCUGGAGACGCCAAGGACCAUCAUGUGAGGUGGCUUUUAUCCUCCUCGCCCCUACUGGUACAGACGAGAAGAAACUGUGACUCAGAAGUUAAGCAUUUUCCCAUGGUCACUGGGCUACACAGAAAGGCCAGGAUUUGAACCCAAGCUUCUGCUUCCACCCAUCUUCAUUAGGAGUCAAGUUAUACUGUGGGUCUCAACCAUGGCUGCUCACUGGAAUCACCUGGAAGCUUCCCAAGUACUGAUGUCUGUGUCCCCAGCCCAGAGGUUCUGAUAUCAUUGUCUGGGUGUGGCCUAGCCUUGGAUCUGCAAAAGCUCCCUAGGCAGUUCCACUGCAUGAAGUUGAGAACCACUGAUACAGAGUGACCUCACCUCCCCACCCCCAAUGGAGGUGCUAUGGUUUGAAGAGCAAAACUCAUGUUGAAAUUUAACUGUUCUUGCACCUCCUGCAGAGCCUGGGAGCUCCCAGUCCAGCCAAGGAUGUUGGAUCUCAUGGUCCUAAGUACUUCUUUGACACCCCAUUCCCCUCAGUAAAAUAGUUUGACCCCUUCUCCACCAAAAAAAAAAAAAAAAGAAAGAAAUUUAAUUGCCAUGAUGAUGGUAUUAAAAGGUGGGACCUUUAAGAGGUGAUUAGGUUAUGAGGGUUCAGCCCUCAUGAAUGGAUUAAUGCCGUUAUCUUGGGAGUGGAUUAGUUAUCCCAGGAAUGCAGCUCCUGAUAAAAAGGAUGACUUUGGCCUGAUUUCCUGUCUCUGUCUCAUGUGCUGGGUUCUGCCUUCUGCCAUAGGAUGACCCUUGCCAGAUGCCAGCGCCAUGCCCUUAGACUUCCCAGCCUCUGGAACUGUGACCCUAAUGAAUUUCUGUUCAUUAUAAACUACGCAGGCAGUGGCAUUCUGUUAUAGGAAGCAGAAAAUGGACGAGGACAGUGAGCAAGGGUAUAAUGAACAACCUUUAAAGAAAUACUAUUAAUAAAAAGCUAACAUUCAGCUAGGUCUUGCCAUGCACCACCGCGCUCAUUUAACUGUCACAACAGCCCAUCGGGUAGGUGUUGCUAUUAUCCCCCAUUUUACUGAAGUAAUUGAGGCAGGUUAAGUAUUAACUGGGGAAAUCAGCAUUUGAAUGUAGGUACUUCUGACAUUGGACCCCUCAUACACAACAACUCUGCUGUAUUGUCUCCAACUAAGUCUCAGAAGUGAUUUAGAAAGUCAUACAGGCCAGGCACAGUGGCUCAUUCCUGUAAUCCCAACACUUUGGGAGGCUGAGGUGGGAGGAUUGCUUGAGCCCAGGAGUUUGGGAGCAGCCUGGGCAACAUAGGAGACCCUGUCUCUACAAAAUAAAUAUAAAUAAAUAAAUUAGUCAGGUGUGGUGGUGCGUGCCUGUACUCCCAGCUAUUUGGGAGGCUGAGGGGGGAGGAUCACUUGAGCCCAGGAGGUCACGGCUGCAGUGAGCUAUGAUCAUGCCACUGUAUCCCAUCCUGGGCAAGAGAGCAAGACGCUUAAAAAAAAAAGUCACACAACAGAUUAUUCAUGAGUUAAAAUAAACUUGGCAUCUACCAAUCAUCUCAGUGAAUUACUGGUGAAAAUUACCUAACAACUUUGUGCUUUGUGCUCUGGUCUUGUAACACAAUGCCACAGACAAGUUAAGACCCAACAAGUGCCAACUCAUUGAAGCAGGUAAGGAUCAGCCAAGAAAAAGUACACAAGUUCAACUUCUACUUGCCACUGUGCUUGAGAAAUGUCAGACAGCGCCAGCAAAUUCCCUGUUCCCCUCCAGGUUCAGAAAUGAACCUGUAGCUCCAGGAGUUUUCAUGAUUCAGACCUGAUGAUCAGAGGCUAAGCCAUGCCCCUGAGGUAGGAGCAGUCAGGUUUUUGAACUUUUUGCAGUUACACAGGCACUCAGGGAGUUGACAAUAAAUCCAGAGCCAUGAGGGAUGGAGAAGGAAGAGAAUGAUGUCCUAGUCUUGCUUAGGGGGAAGGAGGAGAGUCUAGGAAAGGGUUCUAAAAAUACUACAUUUAGGGUACUUUUUGGUCCAGAAACAGCUGCUCUAAGCCCUUCCAGAAGCCUGGAGGGUCAAGCAAGGCUGAAAAACAUGCAAUUCAUGUAGAAGGCCCUCAGGCUGGGAAAGCCUUCUACUGUCUUUGGCACAAAUCAAGAACCAGAUGGUUCCUGCCUGCCAGUGGUCGCAGAUGAGGAAAGCACAGGUGAAUCUCAGGCAGUAUGGACUCACUGCUAUUAGGCCUCCUCACUUUGGCCUAAUCAAAUAGUUUUACUAAAGGCAUGGAAACAGUCUCAGCCUCUGAGAGGAGGAAGCAUGUCUUAAAACUUCUUCACCUUCUGCAAUGCCUGGCCUCAGACAAAUAAUAGGCACUCAAUUAACAACUCAUAAUAAUACAAAUGUUAUACAUAUCUAUACA